rnacentral:rRNA from 1 species
GUGCCAGCAGCCGCGGUAAGACGUAGGUGGCGAACGUUAUCCGGAAUUAUUGGGCGUAAAGGGUGCGUAGAUGGCCUGACAAGUUAACAGUGGUAAAUCGAGGCUCAACCUCGUGGAAACUGAUAAUACUGUCUGGCUCGAGUACAGAAGAGGUUAACGGAAUUCCAUGUGGAGCGGUAAAAUGCAUAGAUAUAUGGAAGAACACCAAUAACGGCGAAGGCAGUUAACUAUUCUGUUACUGACAUUGAGGCACGAAAGCGUGGGGAGCAAAACGGAUUAGAUACCCCUGUAGUCC